rnacentral:rRNA from 1 species
UCGUGGAGGCUGGUGUGUUGGGGGAAAGGAGUGAGAGCGUAAGGGUCGGCGGCGUAUGUCAUACAGACGCGCUCUGCUCGCUGGCUGUGUGCGCGGCAGCGGAGCGGAGGAAGGUCUAGGCGGCGCUCGGCCCUUGCUCCUUUUGCUUUCCUACCCUAGUUUUAAAUUACGUAACACCUUUUUACUCAAUGAACGGGACCCGUUUCUACUAUUUCUAUUUCGUUAGUGUCAUUCUUUACUAAUAGGCUUCGGGGGACAGGGAACAAAACUUUAGUGACUCCUAAAACUAAACCUUUUCCAACUCCUCGAAUACGAUCUUUCCCUAUAAUUCUAGCGGUUCAGGUACCGUUUACUGUAUUAGUAGGGUCUGGGACGAGGGUUCACCCACCCACUACGGAAGAACCUGUAUAUACGGUUUAACCUCGUGUAGGAACAUUUCCUAUCACAGGCCACGAAGGAGGCUAAAAAGCUCUUGACACUUCCGGUCCCGUACAGUAGAAUAGAAUGGUAGUGGCGUGUUUGGAAUUGGAAGUAACAGUCAAAGUUACGGGACGCUACACGUUUUCAGCAUAACCUCCCGUACCGUGGACUCGAGAUACCCUACGUGCGGUUAGGGUUGACGUAUUUGUUUAUACCUAUGAAGCACGAGGUACUUCGACGACUUUCCAAGAGACAACUGUACUAGUUCGACGAAAAUGCGGUACCACGUAGUGGGUUACACGCGUGUCAACCGUUACUACAGUAGCUCUUAGAUGAGGGCGAGGUACAGCGUCAACUCUUAUGAACGGACGUAUUCAUAGACCUCCUGUUAGACCUCCUGUUAGGAAGAGUGUCGGUCUUAGUACUCCUAUACAGAUGUUCGAAUAAGUAGACGACACAGAUGGACUUUACUUCUAGAAGAACCUGUGUUAAUCUGACGAACGUCUCUUUUGUUUAUUAGAUGAGCUUCUCGAGACCUUAAUAUAACUCCUACCUUUUUAAUAGGUCAGACGACAAGAUGAUGACCGACGAGUUCUCGUCUAGGCACCCCAAUCAAGAAGGUUCUAUUUACCGUCAUCAUUCUUUUUACCAAACUUUAGUAGCUCUUCACAUAUUGCUCCGUAAGUAUACGGAACUCUUUGCUCUUUCCAAGUGAACCUUACCAUGUCCUCGAAGACCUCCUUUCCUUCUGCGAAUUGCUAACACGUACCGACGAACAACUACAUUAAAGGGUACGGCCACUUCUAGAAAGACGUAUGUAAGUUCGCGUAAGACACCACAGGGUACACCUCCAGAAAGUUGUACAAAGUAGAUAAGAGUUCCUCACACCUAAAACGGGAUGACCUCUAGAAUACCUGUGAUAUUUGGAGGUCGGAAUACUGACGUCUUUCAGUUUGCCUCUCAGUACGUUUCCACAAACCCGAGUUUGACUCAGAAUUAGAGAGGGGAAUAAAAAUUUGACCUAUUAUCCCGAAUGUCUACGUUUGUACCGUCAAUACCUUAGUCGGUUCGACUUACGACGUCUCUUCUUCCGACACUCUUUCUUUCAUCCGCCUCCUACCCUAGGGUGCAUAUGUUUCUCUUCGAAAAAGGGUAUAACCUCUAGUCACAAUGUUCGAGCCCAAGGAAACUUCCACAUAGGUCGGGUACGUUCGAGUCUAGGAUCCAGAGCACAAUUGGUACCUGUUGAGGUACAGAGAGACUCAUUGAGUUAUCGGUUACCUAGAUGUUGUUGAGGUUUAGUAUUUGAACCAGGUCACGCUUCUUGGAGCGGUGAAUGUUCGUUAUUAGUUGGGUCUUCCACGAAACAGUGACGACGAUGACCACGUAAGUCCGAGAACUUCCACGAUUUCAUCUCAUCUUUCCUCCGAGUUGACUACGGACUGAACUAUCGGCGACACUGGGGUCAGUAAAUCUACACCACAACAUUCACAGUUUACACACACUAAAACAAGAGAGCAGUAGCUUAUCUUGACCUACCUCUACCAAGCAUUGUAGCUCCAAAUCGAAAACUGGAUAGUUGAUGAACAGACUUACUGAAAAUUGCAAUUACAACAUGUGUAAACACAGACCAAGGUAGAGUUACUAAAAAUUGCAAUUACAACAUACGUAAAGACAGACCGAGGUAGAAUUCGGAGGCCGCACACAAUCUUUGCGCCUCGUAGAGGUUGUCUUUUCACUCUC